UGACCCUCUGCCUAAAACUAACACAAGCCUUAAAGAUGCCUAGGAUAAAGAUAUAUAGGAAAUGAUUUGCUGCUUUUUGAUGAAUUGCAGGAUUGUAAAUGGUUUUGUGUGCGCUCUCUCUGAGAAAGUUUACAGAGCCUCAACAGUUAUUUCCAUUCCUUCAGGUCAAGGAUACAGUUUUUAAUGUGCAUUAUUGAAUUUUUAAUUCCUUUAAUAGCUAGAGAAUAUGAAGUAUAGAGGGCAGGGCAGCAAAAUCACUGGAAGGCAGGAGCAGAGAAUGAAUACUGUAUUCUUUGCAAUGCUAUACUAUGCUCUAUUAUUCUCUCUAGGCUCUUUCUUUGUCCUCCUCAUCACUGCAUCCUCAUGUGUGGCUUGAUUUCUCUUGUUCUUUUCCCAGAAGACCCUCAGGACAACCUCUGUGGCCUGGAAUCAGCACCUUUUGCCAAGCGCGCUGCCACACAGACUUUACACCUUCAGCCUUGCUAUAUCUCCUCAAACCUUUAGAUAGUGUUGAUGAUGAUGAUGAUGACAUGUUCUCCUAUCUGCCUGGCCAACCCAGCCUUCCCAAGCCAGAAGUUACAACUGAUUUUAGGAAGAGGCCUUUUACAUUUGGUGUACGUACACCGGUAUAUGCACAUAUAUAAGUCCAUAUCCAGCAUGGUGGAGAUUACCUCAGUGGGCUUAGUCUUCAAAGUCUUCCACUUAAAGAUUCUCCCCUUGGAGAAGAAUGUCUUCGAUGAAAUUAUGCCUUUUUUAAAAAAAGUAAAGCAAUAGAUACGUUUUACAAAUGUUUUGAAGAAAAUCUAGAUUGUACCUUUGAACAGUUAUUUCUGUUUUAUACAGUUCUUUUGCAUGCAUUCUGCAUGGGAAAAUGUCAUUAUCAUCACAGACACACCCUAUGAACAAUACUUCUGGAACAUGAACAUUUCUCAUAUGUAGGUUUUAUCAUUAUUUUUUAUUACAUAAAAUUCCAGCAACCUACUUCCAUAUUCACUGCAGUCAAUGGAAAGGCAGUCAUUUACUUCAGUGGGCUUCAGAUCAAGACACAGUGUUGAGAAAUGGGUGUAAUAAAGACCAUUAACACAGAACUGUUUUUUGGACU
rnacentral:lncRNA from 1 species